UAACAACGAACCAUGAGAAGUCAGCAGAAGCCAUAGUACCAGAAAUGGGAAGG
rnacentral:ncRNA from 1 species